CCUUUAACAAAUUUCAUCUUCUGUGGAUAUUCCUAUUUAUAAUCCCAGUUGGAGGUUUAGCUUAUAUACUCUACGAACGGAAAGCCUCAGAACCUUUGGUCAUAGAGAACAUUGAGUCAGUGAUAGCCUUCACCAAUGAGAAGGAAACAGACAUCACGACACACAUGUCUACAACUACUACGGAACUGUCUCGUGAAUCUCAUACAACUUUCGGUCCACACUUCCAUCAGGGGGAGAGUGCCACUGCGAGAAAGAAUAUAUCUAUUGGUG
rnacentral:sRNA from 1 species